ensembl:snoRNA small nucleolar RNA SNORD66
CUCUAAUGAUGAGUUCUUUUGUGUGCCACGUGUCUGGGCCACUGAAUGUUUAUGAUGGUAAUGAGGAUCUGAAAGAG